rnacentral:rRNA from 1 species
UGGCUGUCGUCAGCUCGUGUUGUGAAAUGUUGGGUUAAGUCCCGCAACGAGCGCAACCCUUAAGCUUAGUUGCCAUCAUUAAGUUGGGCACUCUAAGUUGACUGCCGGUGACAAACCGGAGGAAGGUGGGGAUGACGUCAAGUCCUCAUGGCCCUUACGGGUUGGGCUACACACGUGCUACAAUGGUCGGUACAGAGGGUUGCCAAGCCGCGAGGUGGAGCUAAUCCCAUAAAACCGAUCGUAGUCCGGAUCGCAGUCUGCAACUCGACUGCGUGAAGUCGGAAUCGCUAGUAAUCGCGAAUCAGAAUGUCGCGGUGAAUACGUUCCCGGGCCUUGUACACACCGCCCGUCACACCAUGGGAGUGGGUUGCACCAG